rnacentral:pre_miRNA from 1 species
AAUCUGGAAUUCACGUGCUCACUUGUCCUCCUCCAUGUUUGAAAGAUACAGGGAGGAGGCCAUAGUGGCAACUGUCACCAUGAUU